rnacentral:rRNA from 1 species
GAUGAACGCUGGCGGCGUGCCUAAUACAUGCAAGUCGAGCGAACAGAUAAGGAGCUUGCUCCUUUGACGUUAGCGGCGGACGGGUGAGUAACACGUGGGUAACCUACCUAUAAGACUGGAAUAACUCCGGGAAACCGGGGCUAAUGCCGGAUAACAUUUAGAACCGCAUGGUUCUAAAGUGAAAGAUGGUUUUGCUAUCACUUAUAGAUGGACCCGCGCCGUAUUAGCUAGUUGGUAAGGUAACGGCUUACCAAGGCAACGAUCCGUAGCCGACCUGAGAGGGUGAUCGGCCACACUGGAACUGAGACACGGUCCAGACUCCUACGGGAGGCAGCAGUAGGGAAUCUUCCGCAAUGGGCGAAAGCCUGACGGAGCAACGCCGCGUGAGUGAUGAAGGUCUUCGGAUCGUAAAACUCUGUUAUUAGGGAAGAACAAAUGUGUAAGUAACUGUGCACGUCUUGACGGUACCUAAUCAGAAAGCCACGGCUAACUACGUG